rnacentral:tRNA from 2 species
GCGCCCGUAGCUCAGCGGAUAGAGCAUUGGUCUUCGGAACCAAGUGUCGGGGGUUCGAAUCCCUCCGGGCGUGCCA